GAGGGAAGAGUUCGACACAUGAACGAUUGGUUUGCAACUGAUAUGUGCCCCAUCCGAGCGGGGCUUCCUUCG
rnacentral:tRNA from 1 species